rnacentral:rRNA from 1 species
GACGAACCGUGCGACCGUUGUUCGGAAUCACUGGGCUUAAAGGGCGCGUAGGCGGCUCAUCAAGUCCGGGGUGAAAGCCCCCAGCUUAACUGGGGAAGUGCCUCGGAUACUGGUGAACUGGAGGGAGGUAGGGGCGGAUGGAACUUCCGGUGGAGCGGUGAAAUGCGUUGAUAUCGGAAGGAACGCCGGUGGCGAAAGCGAUCCGCUGGACCUCUACUGACGCUGAGGCGCGAAAGCCAGGGGAGCAAACGGG